CCUACGGGAGGCAGCAGUGGGGAAUAUUGGGCAAUGGGCGCAAGCCUGACCCAGCAACGCCGCGUGAAGGAAGAAGGCUUUCGGGUUGUAAACUUCUUUUCUGAGGGACGAAGAAAGUGACGGUACCUCAGGAAUAAGCCACGGCUAACUACGUGCCAGCAGCCGCGGUAAUACGUAGGUGGCAAGCGUUAUCCGGAUUUACUGUGUGUACGGGGCGUGUAGGCGGGAAAGCAAGGCAGAUGUGAAAACGCAGGGAGCAACCCUGAGGCUGCAUGUGAAACUGUUUUUCGGGAGUGCUGGAGAGGCAAGCGGAAUUCCGUGUGUAGCGGUGAAAUGUGUAGAUAUAAGGAGGAACACCAGUGGCGAAGGCGGAUUGCUGGACAGUAACUGACGCUGAGGCGCGAAAGCGUGGGGAGCAAACAGGAUUAGAUACCCCUGUAGUC
rnacentral:rRNA from 1 species